GAAAAAAACAAUACAUAUUGAUGAGGAUAUAUGAAAAGAGAUGGUAAUAUUAAUUGCAUUUGAGGAGCCUUAUCAACUCAGCAGACCUUGGGUAGAGUUCUAAACCUAAAAUUUCAAUGGGUGAGUGAUUCUUGUCUACACCGUGGAUGUAUCCACCUCAUUAAGAAUUGACCUAAAAUAAUGGCGGAUUCUAUAAUAAAAUAUGGUAAGUUCUAUUAUAAAACAUGAUUUUUUCAUUGAUUGGGUGUAUAAAAUAAUUUACACCCUAAUAUAUCUAAGAACUUUCCUAUUUGGUAUGUACAAACGGUGCUCCAUGGUAAAGGUAAGUGUUGUCAUUGCUUAACCAUAUGCUUUCCUUAGGGACAUUCCCUUGUAGGACUUCAAGUAUCUGCAUCAAAUAGCAAUUAUAAUGAUAGAAUUAAUGCUUAAACCUAUAAUUAUUAAUUUCUAUGGUCAGGGAAGAUUAGUUAUCGCAUCAAUUUGUUUGCUUCUAACAUAAAAAAAGAAUGGUAAAAUAAAUAUGCAAUUGUCUUGGAGUUUACAUACCUGACUCAUUCGUGGGCGAUAAUCCGCUGGUUUAUACACACAAGAUGCAGCACAGUAAAUCAUUCUAAUCAUUUCAUCUUCAUUAUAUCCGCCUUGUAUUUUGGCAUCAAUAAUAUCAUUAUAAUUGCCUUUGUCCAAAGCUCGUUUGAGUAGAGGCACUGCCCUAAUAGACAAGCUAUUGUGAAAACCACCUUCAUUUUCAACAGCUCUUUUUCCAGUAAUCAACUCCAGAAGUAUGAUACCAAAGGAAAAGACAUCACACUUAUCCGUAAGCUUCCUAUCAUUGAUAUACUCAGGAGCCAAAUA
rnacentral:misc_RNA from 1 species